rnacentral:rRNA from 1 species
GGCCAGACUCCUACGGGAGGCAGCAGUGAGGAAUAUUGGUCAAUGGCCGAGAGGCUGAACCAGCCAAGUCGCGUGAGGGAUGACGGCCCUACGGGUUGUAAACCUCUUUUGUCGGGGAGCAAAGAGAGUCACGUGUGGCUCAUUGAGAGUACCCGAAGAAAAAGCAUCGGCUAACUCCGUGCCAGCAGCCGCGGUAAUACGGAGGAUGCGAGCGUUAUCCGGAUUUAUUGGGUUUAAAGGGUGCGUAGGCGGGCUUUUAAGUCAGCGGUAAAAAUUCGGGGCUCAACCCCGUCCGGCCGUUGAAACUGGGGGCCUUGAGUGGGCGAGAAGAAGGCGGAAUGCGUGGUGUAGCGGUGAAAUGCAUAGAUAUCACGCAGAACUCCGAUCGCGAAGGCAGCCUACCGGCGCGCAACUGACGCUCAUGCACGAAAGCGUGGGUAUCGAACAGGAUUAGAUACCCCUGUA